GGUGGCGUAUAUUACUGUUGCCCAGCAAUUAGCAGCCCAUAAAUUGUAGCGAAGGUAUCCCAGUUUAUGGCCUAAACUAAGCUUUCUAUGGCCACACCAUACAACAUUGUCCUUAGAAAGCGUAAUCUGAAGGUUGCCUUCCCCCCAUCUCUUAUGCAUCACAAGUGCCUGAAGCAAGGUGGUAGGAGCUAAUCCUAAGAAAGCUUUCCUUGUUGGAUUGUAAUUCACUGAUUUCCAUCCUCGGCAUUGGAUUGAUAGUCCUGUUAUCACAUCCUCAACUGUACACCCAUAUUUCAAACCCAUCUGCAGAUUAUAAAGAUUUUGUCUCAACUUAAAACGAGUAUAUAUUCCUAAAUACACAUUAAAUUUUAAAUGGGAAUUUUCUUGGAAUAUAAAAACAUACAUGAGUUAUAAGUGAAAAUGAACACACACACACACACAGAUAUAUAUAGUAUAUAUAUAUAUAUAUAUAUAUAUAUAUAUAUAUAUAUGAGAAUACCUCUUUUCCCCAUUGUGUGUUCUCCUCAAAUGUACAACUCGCAAGUCUCUUUGAACUUUGUUCUAAUUCAUGAAUGCCAAAGUACUCUCUUUUGUUACCAUCCCAUUUCAUCUCACUCUUAUUCACCUUGCUGAAUUUCUUCCCAGAAAGAGUGUCUCUUCUGUGAAAACAUCCAGUUCCAAUAUAUAACAUCCCCCAAUAAGCAUCCAGACCAUGAAGUUCCACCUUCAUGUAAAUGCCAAAACACAUAUAAUCGCAAAAUUUUGAUUCUAAUAUUUCCAUCAGCCUAUAAUAACAUUGUCUACUCUGUGGUACUCACCUCGGUAAUUACUCGCAAUGAAGCGUAUAAUUCAUUCUUAGUAAGGUUAUCGAAAUUCUGGGGGAACUGUACGUAAGCAAUCUCAUGGCCUUGUUCUUCAUCCAACAAGAAGCAGAGUGCAUCCCUUAUGGCCUUGGAGUUGUUUGAAUACAUGUCACAGUCUACAUUCAGAAUCAACUUUCCAUUGCUAAUAUUUGACGAUACCCUAAUCUGCAAAUUGCGAAGGAUCGCAUCUGUACGUUAUCUAAACCCUAUAGGCACACAGUGAAACUCACACAUAUCUUGUAAAUGUAAUAUGUUGUUUACCAGAGCAUUCAUAGCACCAGCUUUGAAGUUAUGGUGAAUCUGGGGUCUCUUCUCCCGAGCCAAAUACACCAAAGUUGGCAACACACACCCUUCAACAUCUCUUGCAUUUGGGUCUCUCCCGUCAAUUACUAUCUGGGAGAAAAGUUCAUCGACUAAUUUAAACAUCUGGUACUAAUUAAACACCCAGUCAUAUAUAUGAUCACUUAACAUUAAAGAACUCAAAUGGAAAUGUCAUACUUGAAGAAUGGUGUCAUGGUCACGUUUUGAUGAAUAUGAAUCCCACUGAGAAAAGCCUUUAUGUUUUGAUCUUACUUCUUCCGGAAUCCGGCCUAGCUUCACUGCAUUUUCAACUUUUGUUGCCAUGUCCUCGUAUAGUUUCUGCAUCAAUAUUAUUUGGUGACAUGAGAGCUUAAGUAUGUUGUAAGCAUUGUAAGACCAAAAGAAGAAGAAGAACAAAAGUAGUUACAAAUGCAACACAAAAUAAAACAAGAUAUAAUGGAGUAAGAAAUGUUAAUUUCGUGUUCAUUUGGUUGUUACGAAUCCAAUUUUGCCAUGAUGUACACCCAAAAUUUUCCCACCGGCCGGUAAUUUAUAACAGAGGCUUACUGUUUCCAUUUCACUCCGAUCACUAACAGACCCUAUUGGUCAGUCCCUAAUGGCGAAUGGGGAAGAUUGUAGUACCUUUUAAAGGUAGGUCUUUAGGUGGAUAUGCUGGUGGGUUAAAGUUUGGAUCAAGGUGUAUAGUCUAGGCUAGCCAGACGUUUUUGUUACGAGUCAUUGUUCAAUGUGUAGUCGGCGACCGUGCGCACUAAAAAUUGUAACAGGUGAUCUUCAAAUCUCUUGUUUUGACUGAAUGAGGUCGUAUACGAUAUCUUCGACCAAUGGAGUUCAUCCACUCUCAUAAGAAAAAAAAAAAAAAAAAAAAAACAAAAGAUGACAGGCUUGACAACUUCGAGGAUAAUUACUAAGCAACUUCCGGCUACUAAACGACUAGCAUGCAAUAGAUCUAACAUUAAGACAUGUCUAGUGAACAAAAAAUCCAUUCUUACCUACGAUCGAAUAUAUAAAAUUAACAGAAGAGGUUAAGACAUGCCUCACUUGAUCGAUGACCAUAUAUUUCUUUCAAAAUUUCUUAAUCAAUGGUGAACAAAUUAAGAAAAUAUCAACAUCAAGACAUCGCUACUCUUAUGUCCAAGUCUCCAAGACACUUUAAUUGACUCCAUCCAUCAUCAUAUGGAUCCAGAUGAUUCUACUUGGAGCAGUUUACUUGUCGUCUAAAUUGGACAACCUAUGCCAUUUAUGCUCUCCACAAAAAAUCUCUGCUGCGCGCAGGGACCUAAUGGAAAUGUGUAUGUCAUCGCUGACCUAAUUAUCACUUUAAUCUUAACCAUGCAUAAUUGCUGAUUAGAGUUGUUGUUUCUUCGACGUGUAAAUAUACGAUAUCAUAUAGAGGGUCAAAAUCUAUCUACACGACGGUCUCAUUAUAUAAUUCUAGAACUGAGAUGACAUUGUGUACAUACAUGACGUGCAUACAAGAAUUUCCAAUUAAGCAUUAACCAAACAGACUUCUUUUAUUUCUUUACACUUUGAUUAUGGAAGACUUUAUGAUAUGGAUAAAAUCGUAAAAUAAUAAUUACCUUAAUGAGCGCCAAAUCAGCAGCCUUUUUCUGAUUCUGGCUUUCAUCAUCAACUGCAUCAGAAUCUAUCGAGACAAAAUAAGCAAAUGGUGAUCUCGGCUCCACACUGUACUUCUUGCAAUAGGGUAUCCAGUACUUGGCAAACUCAGCAGCUUCCAGAAAAGCAUAGUACGUAAAUUCUGAGCCUCCAUCGUCAGAGAGAUACACGCUGAGCUUCUCCGGCGGAUAGUCAUAAGACAUGACCGAUAGAACAGUGUUCAUCACCAUCAUCGGCGGCUCUAUGAUCGGAUCCGCGGUGCACACGAAUAUGUCCACCCCCGGCAACUCAUUCUCAUAUCUGUUAAGUAACACACGCGAAGUUAAACGAUACGAAGAUCAUCAUUACGAAAGAAGUUAGGUUAGAGCUAGAUUAAGCUAACAGUAUAUAUAACAUGUUAUGUUGUUAAACUAUAGAUACAGAUCAUUCAUAUAUAACAGUGAAUACAGAUACCUUUCAGAGAGUCUGUCCUUGAAGGUAUGCCGGAAGGUGCGGCUCCACCGAAGAGCUUGAGUGAUGACCCAGUAAAAACUGAACCAUAACUCAGCGGCGAACAACAACAUCCAACCAAAUCUUCCAUUUUCUCCAGCUCUUGGUAUAUGAGUCACUCUAUAAGCCCAAAUCAAACAUAUACCAACAGAUACAGACACUGCAGAAAACCUAUAGAAGACUGUUCCCUUUGCCUUCGUUGUCUCAAACAGUGGUAAAUGUCUUUCCUCUCCCAUUUUUGAGCCAACUCUGAUUGCUCAAGCUUUCUUUCUCUAGUGGAGAUGAUUUAAUAUAUAGGGAAGGACCCCGGACCAGGUCUUGCUUUCUAUUAUAAAAACCAAUUAACUUUGAAGCUAAUGCAUGCGUCCCGCGAACGCAACUUUGAUGUAAUGCUACCUUUCACAUCUCUGAUGUGUAUUACAAAACAAACAAGUUACAUGCAUAACUAGCUACUAUGAAAGUAUUGCAGCCAUAUGCACUUGGGUAGUAGUAAGAGUUUGGUGGUCUUUGACCUAUUGCUGAAUAAAAGAUUUCUUUUUUGGUCAGAAAAUAAAAGAUCAUUUACAAGCAGAUGAAACUGUCAUUCCAAUACAAGUUAGCUGAAACUGAAUAUGAUCUUAUCUUACAUUGUGCAUAACUAGUUAAGAAUCGUUCAAUGACAAGUUCGGCCUGAUAUUUUACUUUGUAGUCUGAAUUAUUCCCUCAUCUUUGUCAUAUAUAUUUGAAACAUAAACAAGCAAAUCCAGCAAAUGUCAUCGACUUCAAUGCUACAGAGCUCGGCAGCUUUCCCUUGUCCUUCCUUAGGUAUGGGGCUUCGUACAAGGGUAGGUUAAUGACAAUCAAAACCACACAUAGGAGAAUCUGCAAGCACAUUGUCUCAUAAACUUCUCCAAUACCCUUUUUUCCAGUGAUUGCUACCUUCAAAAACCAAGCAAAGCAGUACAGAUUGAGCAAUGCAAGCGUUGCCAGCACGGUGAACAUUGGAGACGAGCUCCCGAAUUCCAUGAUCUCUUUCUCGUAUCGUUCGGACACGUCUUCAUCGGCAACCUUGGCUGUUAUUACAAAUGCUGAACUGCUGUAUCCGAGGUAGUGUACAAUGGUGUCAAUGAAGGCAAAUAGGUAAGAGGUUGUUCUCUGGUAAAGCCAUAUACGUUGGUCGUUCCACCAACCUAAGCUCGUGCCUCCACACCACCGAUACUCCACAAAGCUCCCAAUGUUCUUAGCAAUUAUAACAUAUGCAAAUGGUAUAAUCCAUCGGCUUGAAAUCUAAUCCGACAAGAAAAAAACCAAUUUUAAGAAAAGCCGUACGUGAAAUAUAUUGCAUGCAUAAGAAGUAAUUAGAAACAUGUAAUUCGUGGGAUGAACUAUACCUGGGGAAAUAAGGAUUUGCCUCUAAGGAGGUAAAGUGAAGGAAGAGUGGAGUAAAUUAGUGUUGCCCAGCAGUUAGCAGCCCAUAAGUUGAAGCGAAGGUAUCCCAGUUGAUGGCCUAAACUAAGCUUUCCAUGGCCAUACCAUAGAACACAGUACUUAGAUAGCGUAAUCUGAAGGUUGCCUUCUGCCCAUCUCUUAUACAUCACAAGUGCCUGAAGCAAUGUGGUUGGAGCUAAUCCUAAGAAAGCUUUCCUUGUUGGAUUGUAAUACACUGAUUUCCAUCCUCGGCAUUGGAUUGAUAGUCCUGUUAUCACAUCUUCAAC
rnacentral:lncRNA from 1 species